CUGGCAAGUGCAAGCUUCCUCACCCUGCUAAUUGCUAGACUACCGAUCGUAAUCGAUCCAAGGGUUUUCCUCUACAUAUAUGUAUCAUGUCAUAGACAUCUGCCAAAAGAAAAGAUCAUAUAUCAAGGAAGAGUAUAAUAAAUCAGCGAAAGUUCUAUGCUCCUCUUGAUCAGCGCUUUAGAAGUUGUCUAAGUACCAGCUAAUUAUCCUCCUGAUUGUGAUUUGAUGUAAUUCCUUGUUUGUUAGUUGAUGAGUGUGUAUUAAGCUUAAGUUAAUCCAAUGUUAUCGUGAAAAUUUGUG
rnacentral:lncRNA from 1 species